rnacentral:lncRNA from 1 species
UUGGGAUUACAGGCGUGAGCCACUGUGCCCAGCCUCCAGCAUGAUUUUUUUAGGCCGUUCUUUUGUUUGAAAGAAUUCAACUAAGGAUCCACUCUGCCUGCCUGACCGGUUUCUUCCUUUCUUCUCUCUCAUCGGGUCCCGAGUUCCCAUGACUGCAGCUUCCAGAAGAGCAGAGCUUUGGUAUCCUACUCACAGCGCCAAAACUGCAGGGGCCAAGAUGCAAAUCUUCCGCACAAAAGACAGCUUUGCAGGGCUGCUUCUGUUUGCAGGCCCUCUGAACAGCCAUCUCAAAACAUGUCAAAGAAGUAUAUCUUGGGGAAAGAUACAAAAUUCUUGUGUGCAGCCUCUUUUGGACUCCAGCUCUUGUUCUCUCGCUGAAUCCCACCGCCACCCCUUCAAGUCAUCGGCUGUGAUUCACCUGUGGGUUUCUGAAGGCUAGAAGCUUCCACAAUGAGCCAGGAAACAAGUUCUGAUUGGCUGGGAACAGACCUCUGCUCCAAGAUUCAGGGCUGGCAGUAUUCCUUCUGUUCUGGUGGCUCGAUCUUCAUUGCUUUCCUCUGGACUUGUAAGUUAUUCCAACAAACCCCAGCUGCUCUGCAGUGAAAUGUUCCAAAUAAUUAAUAUUUCUGCAGGAAUUACCUUGUAAAAGAUAUGUGCUUUUAAGUAUUUGGUUAUUGUGCAAAUGUUUUUGACUACCUUUUGUGGCCAAUUUUCUCCUUCAGCGGGCUCAUGUAUAAUUUUAGAUAAAAGUACAAGGAAAUUAUGAUUCCAUAAUCAUAAGUCUACUUUCAGCAAUACACGUAUCUUCAGAGAAUCUCAGCCUCCCUGCAGCAUCCUCCUGGUGCACAGAAAAACUGCUGAAUUCUGGCAAGAUACUCAAAGGAUUCUGACGGGUGACCAUCUCAGGCCGGAGAUAUGCCCAACCAACUGGAAAAGCAGAGACAGCCAUGGACAGAUCUGCUGACGCUAAAGUUUAUAGACAGCUGAGGUGCAACCCAUAUAAUCACCCAGAUGUUAUUAGGCCAUGAUCAUUCUGUAGUAAGCUACCUCCCUUCUGUGUUUCCUCUCACCUGACAGCCUAUUGUGGGCACUUUCAAGGCCCCACUGUGUCCAAAUCACACCACCACCAAAGCUCACAGAAGCACGCUGGUAGAUUUCUCCUCUUUGGUGGUUUCCCAUGACCAGCCAAGGGAAAUACCCAACAAUCAUUCUCAGUGUGCACAGAUUUACCUUCAGCUUUUUUGGUUAUAUUGUCAUUAUUAUUUUCUUUGUCCAGUGGGAGAGUUAAGGGGCCUGCUAUGGACUGAACUCUGUCCCCCUCAAAUUCAUAUGUUGAAGCCCCAACCUUCAACAUGACUAUAUUUGAAAACAGUCCCUUUAUGGAGGUAAAGUUAAAUGAGAUCAUAAGAGUGGGGCCCUUGUUCGAUAGAACUGGUGUCCUUACAAGAAGAGGAAGAGGCUGAGUGCAGUGGCUCAAGCCUAUAAUCCCAGCACUUUGGGAAGCUGAGGCAGGAGGUACGCUUGGGCCCAGGAGUUCAAGACCAGCUUGGGCAACAUAACAAGACCCUAUCUCUACAGAAAAAAAUUAAAAAUUAACCAGGUGUGAUGGCAUGUGCUUGUGGUACCAGCUACUCAGGAGGCUGAGAUGGGUGGAUGGCUUGAGCCUGGGAGGUCAAGGUUGCAGUGAGCUGUGAUAGCACUGCACUCCAGCCUGGGUAACAGAGCAAGACCCUGUCCCUCCCCACACCACCCCAACUCCCCCCAAAAAGGAAGAGAUACCAGAGUGCACUCUCUCGAUCUCUCUCUCUCUCUUCCACGUGAGGACACAGAA